rnacentral:rRNA from 1 species
UAGGGAAUCUUCCACAAUGGACGCAAGUCUGAUGGAGCAACGCCGCGUGAGUGAAGAAGGGUUUCGGCUCGUAAAACUCUGUUGUUAAAGAAGAACAUAUCUGAGAGUAACUGUUCAGGUAUUGACGGUAUUUAACCAGAAAGCCACGGCUAACUACGUGCCUG